UACAGAGGGGGCAAGCGUUAUUCGGAAUUAUUGGGCGUAAAGGGCGCGUAGGCGGUUCUUCAAGUCUCUCGUGAAAUCCCUCGGCUUAACUGAGGACGUGCGGGAGAUACUGAAGGGCUUGAGUCCGGAGGAGGGUGGUGGAAUUCCUGGUGUAGCGGUGAAAUGCGCAGAUAUCAGGAAGAACACCCGUGGCGAAGGCGGCUCUCUGGGACGGUACUGACGCUGAGACGCGAAAGCGUGGGGAGCGAACAGG
rnacentral:rRNA from 1 species